UACGGAGGGGACUAGCGUUGUUCGGAAUUACUGGGCGUAAAGCGCACGUAGGCGGAUUUGUAAGUCAGGGGUGAAAUCCCGGGGCUCAACCUCGGAACUGCCUUUGAUACUGUAAAUCUCGAGUCCGGAAGAGGUGAGUGGAAUUCCUAGUGUAGAGGUGAAAUUCGUAGAUAUUAGGAAGAACACCAGUGGCGAAGGCGGCUCACUGGUCCGGUACUGACGCUGAGGUGCGAAAGCGUGGGGAGCAAACAGG
rnacentral:rRNA from 1 species